CUGCUAGGGAAGGCAUCGAGCUUGAGGAAGAGGCCUCAUUCAUCUCCGUACCCCAGGCCCUAGUACACAGCAGGCAGAUAAACCUGCCAGUAAUUUCAGCAAAUGAAACGUGGAACACGUCAAGGCCAGAGGAUGGAAAAGGCUCCAGUUUUGAUAAAAGGAGGCCUGCUUGGCUUGGAAUCCUCUCUCCUGCUGGUUGGGAGAUGCAAAGAUGUUUCCAGAGAGGGGCUGAUGAAUUGAGGGGAAAGAAAUGAGCCCAGUAUGAGUCCCCUUUCAGGGCUGAGUGUGUAUAAAACCAAACAACUUGGAACCGCUCCAAGAGAGGGGAUUAAAGCAACAUGUUAUUCUGAGUGAUUGCUUAAUUUGUUGAGCUGUGGCUGGAUCUGUAAUGAAAUACAGCCCUUGUAACUGAUAACCUCCUGCUGCAAUUGAACUUCUACAAUUAAGGAAUAUUUUCUGAGUUUCUCUGGAACGGCUCUGAAUUUUUAGCCUCUGUGGUAGGGUGCUUCUGAACAUUUGUUUUCCAGGCAAUUUUUUUUCUUGAGUAUUAGGCUGAUGUUAAUAAGUAAGCAGCAUUU
rnacentral:lncRNA from 1 species